UGAAACUUCGGUCGAUUUAAUUUGUUUCUAGUGGCGGACGGGUGAGUAACGCGUGGGUAACCUGCCCUAUACAGGGGGAUAACAACCAGAAAUGGUUGCUAAUACCGCAUAAGCGCACGGGACCGCAUGGUCCGGUGUGAAAAACUCCGGUGGUAUAGGAUGGACCCGCGUUGGAUUAGCUGGUUGGUGGGGUAACGGCCCACCAAGGCGACGAUCCAUAGCCGGCCUGAGAGGGUGAACGGCCACAUUGGGACUGAGACACGGCCCAGACUCCUACGGGAGGCAGCAGUGGGGAAUAUUGCACAAUGGGGGAAACCCUGAUGCAGCGACGCCGCGUGAAGGAAGAAGUAUCUCGGUAUGUAAACUUCUAUCAGCAGGGAAGAUAGUGACGGUACCUGACUAAGAAGCCCCGGCUAACUACGUGCCAGCAGCCGCGGUAAUACGUAGGGGGCAAGCGUUAUCCGGAUUUACUGGGUGUAAAGGGAGCGUAGACGGACUGGCAAGUCUGAUGUGAAAGGCGGGGGCUCAACCCCUGGACUGCAUUGGAAACUGUUAGUCUUGAGUGCCGGAGAGGUAAGCGGAAUUCCUAGUGUAGCGGUGAAAUGCGUAGAUAUUAGGAGGAACACCAGUGGCGAAGG
rnacentral:rRNA from 1 species